ACUUUUGUCAGGGAAGAAAAGGCUGUUGCUAAUAUCGACAGCUGAUGACGGUACCUGAAGAAUAAGCACCGGCUAACUACGUACCAGCAGCCGCGGUAAUACGUAGGGUGCGAGCGUUAAUCGGAAUUACUGGGCGUAAAGCGAGCGCAGACGGUUACUUAAGCAGGAUGUGAAAUCCCCGGGCUCAACCUGGGAACUGCGUUCUGAACUGGGUGACUAGAGUGUGUCAGAGGGAGGUAGAAUUCCACGUGUAGCAGUGAAAUGCGUAGAGAUGUGGAGGAAUACCGACGGCGAAGGCAGCCUCCUGGGAUAACACUGACGUUCAUGCUCGAAAGCGUGGGUAGCAAACAGGAUUAGAUACCCUGGUAGUCCACGCCCUAAACGAUGUCAAUUAGCUGUUGGGCAACUUGAUUGCUUAGUAGCGUAGCUNACGCGUGAAAUUGACCGCCUGGGGAGUACGGUCGCAAGAUUA
rnacentral:rRNA from 1 species